ACGCUGGCGGCACGCCUAACACAUGCAAGUCGAACGAAGUAGCAAUACUUAGUGGCAGACGGGUGAGUAACAUGUGGGUAUCUACCCUUUGGCCUGGAAUAACACGAGGAAACUUGUGCUAAUACCGGAUAAGUCUUUACGGAGAAAGCUUUAUGCACCAUUGGAUGAGCCCGCACUUGAUUAGUUUGUUGGUAGGGUAAUGGCCUACCAAGACUAUGAUCAAUAGCUGAUUUGAGAGGAUGAUCAGCCACAUUGGGACUGAGACACGGCCCAAACUCCUACGGGAGGCAGCAGUGGGGAAUCUUGCACAAUGGAGGAAACUCUGAUGCAGCGAUGCCGCGUGAGUGAAGAAGGCCUUUGGGUUGUAAAGCUCUUUCGUCGGGGAAGAAAAUGACUGUACCCGAAUAAGAAGGUCCGGCUAACUUCGUGUCAGCAGCCGCGGUAAUACGAAGGGACCUAGCGUAGUUCGGAAUUACUGGGCUUAAAGAGUUCGUAGGUGGUUGAAAAAGUUGGUGGUGAAAUCCCAGAGCUUAACUCUGGAACUGCCAUCAAAACUUUUCAGCUAGAGUAUGAUAGAGGAAAGCAGAAUUUCUAGUGUAGAGGUGAAAUUCGUAGAUAUUAGAAAGAAUACCAAUUGCGAAGGCAGCUUUCUGGAUCAUUACUGACACUGAGGAACGAAAGCAUGGGUAGCGAAGAGGAUUAGAUACCCUCGUAGUCCAUGCCGUAAACGAUGUGUGUUAGACGUUGGAAAUUUAUUUUCAGUGUCGCAGGGAAACCGAUAAA
rnacentral:rRNA from 1 species